rnacentral:rRNA from 1 species
GGCGAAAGCCUGAUGCAGCGACGCCGCGUGAGGGAUGACGGCCUUCGGGUUGUAAACCUCUUUCAGCAGGGACGAAGCGCAAGUGACGGUACCUGCAGAAGAAGCACCGGCUAACUACGUGCCAGCAGCCGCGGUAAUACGUAGGGUGCGAGCGUUGUCCGGAAUUAUUGGGCGUAAAGAGCUCGUAGGCGGUUUGUUGCGUCGGCCGUGAAAACCUGAGGCUUAACCCUGGGCCUGCGGUCGAUACGGGCAGACUUGAGUUCGGUAUGGGAGACUGGAAUUCCUGGUGUAGCGGUGAAAUGCGCAGAUAUCAGGAGGAACACCGGUGGCGAAGGCGGGUCUCUGGGCCGAUACUGACGCUGAGGAGCGAAAGCGUGGGGAGCGAACAGGAUUAGAUACCCUGGUAGUCCACGCCGUAAACGGUGGGUGCUAGGUGUGGGGAACAUUCCACGUUCUCCGUGCCGUAGCUAACGCAUUAAGCACCCCGCCUGGGGAGUACGGCCGCAAGGCUAAAACUC